rnacentral:misc_RNA from 1 species
CUUAAAAAUCAAUUAAAUGGCAACAUUCAUUUCUAGCAGCAUAUAACCCAUUAAAUAAAAAUAGUAAAAUUUCAACAUUAAAAAUCAAUAUUUAGGGGAAAAAAAGAGGCUUUUGUCUGAACGAAUUACCAGGAAGAUGAAACUUUGCCAAUUGCAAAGGAGAAACAACCAUUCUUCAUUGCGUUUAACAUAGUGAGUCUGCAUUAAGCAUUGUGAAUAUCAGAGGACGAGGCAUCCAGGUGAAUCCCAAGAAUACAGUAACAAGAACUUGUUAAAUCUUCCUUUCUGAUCGAUAUGUAAGCCACCAUCACCAAACCACAAACAUGAGCAUUCCCUCCAUUAAAAUUGCUACCUUCAAUAUAAUGUUUAUCUCCAUGUCAAACUGAACAAUUUAU